UGAUGCUCCUGCCUAGGCCUCUCAAAGUGUUGGGAUUACAGGCAUAAGCCAUUGCACCCGGCCUGCACGCGCUCUUUGAAAGCAGUCGAGGGGGCGCUAGGUGUGGGCAGAGACGAGCUGGCGCGGAGUCGCUGGGUGCCCAGCGACCAGGGGCAGAGCCACGCGGCGGGAGGACUACAACUCCCGGCACACCCCGCGCCGCCCAGCCUCUACUCCCAGAAGGCCGCGGGGGGUGGGCCGCCCAAGAGGGCGUGCGCUCCCGACAUGCCCCGCGGCGCGCCAUUAACCGCCAGAUUUGAAUCGCGGGACCCGUUGGCAGAGGUGGCGGCGGCGGCAUGGGUGCCCCGACGUUGCCCCCUGCCUGGCAGCCCUUUCUCAAGGACCACCGCAUCUCUACAUUCAAGAACUGGCCCUUCUUGGAGGGCUGCGCCUGCACCCCGGAGCGGAUGGCGGAGGCUGGCUUCAUCCACUGCCCCACUGAGAACGAGCCAGACUUGGCCCAGUGUUUCUUCUGCUUCAAGGAGCUGGAAGGCUGGGAGCCAGAUGACGACCCCAUAGAGGAACAUAAAAAGCAUUCGUCUGGUUGUGCUUUCCUUUCUGUCAAGAAGCAGUUUGAAGAAUUAACCCUUGGUGAAUUUUUGAAACUGGACAGAGAAAGAGCCAAGAACAAAAUUGAGAGAGCUCUGUUAGCAGAAUGAAAAAAUUGGAGGCCAGAUUCAGGGAGGGACUGGAAGCAAAAGAAUUUCUCUUUGAGGAGGAGCGUGAUGUUUGCCAGGGUCUGUUUAACUGGACAUGAAGAGGAAGGCUCUGGACUUUCCUCCAGGAGUUUCAGGAGAAAGGCAAAGGAAACCAACAAUAAGAAGAAAGAAUUUGAGGAAACUGCGAAGAAAGUGCGCUGUGCCAUUGAGCAGCUGGCUGCCAUGGAUUGAGGCCUCUGGCCGGAGCUGCCUGGUCCCAGAGUGGCUGCACCACUUCCAGGGUUUAUUCCCUGGUGCCACCAGCCUUCCUGCGGGACCCUUAGCAAUGUCGUAGGAAAGGAGAUCAACAUUUUCAAAUUAGAUGUUUCAACUGUACUCUUGUUUUGUCUUGAAAGUGGCACCAGAGGUGCUUCUACCUGCGCAGUGGGUGCUGCUGAUAACAGUGACUGCUUCUCUCUCACUUUUUGGGGGGCUCAUUUUUGCUGUCUUGAUUCCCGGACUUACCAGGUGAGAAGUGGGGGAGGAAGAAGGCGGUGUCCCUUUUGCUAGAGCUGACGGCUUUGUUCGCGUGGGCAGAGCCUUCCACAGUGAAUGUGUCUGGACCUCAUGUUGCUGAGGCUGUCACAGAGUCCUGAGUGUGGACUUGGCAGGUGCCCAUUGAAUCUGAGCUGCAAGUUCCUCGUCUGUCACACCUGUGCUGCCUCAGAAGACAAUUUUUUUUUUUUUUUUUGGUAGAUGCAUGACUUGUGUGUGAUGAGGAGGAAAUGGAGACAGAGUCCCCGGCUCCUCUACUGUUUAACAACAUGGCUUUCUUAUUUUGUUUGAAUUGUUAAUUCACAGAAUAGCACAAACUACAAUUAAAACUAAGCACAAAGCCAUUCUAAGUCAUUGGGGAAACGGGGUGAACUUCAGGUGGAUGUGGAGACAGAAUAGAGUGAUAGGAAGCAUCUGGCAGAUACUCCUUUUGCCACUGCUGUGUGAUUAGACAGGCCCAGUGAGCCGUGGGGCACAUGCUGGCCGCUCCUCCCUCAGAAAAAGGCAGUGGCCUGAAUCCUUUUUAAAUGACUUGGCUCGAUGCUGUGGGGGACUGGCUAGGCUGCUGCAGGCUGUGUGUCUGUCAGCCUGACCUUCACAUCUGUCACGUUCUCCACACGGGGGAGGGAUGCAGUCCGCCCAGGUCCCUGCUUUCUUUGGAGGCAGCAGCUCCCACAGGGCUGAAGUCUGGCGUAAGAUGAUGGAUUUGAUUCGCCCUCCUCCCUGUCAUAGAGCUGCAGGGUGGAUUGUUACAGCUUCGUUGGAAACCUCUGGAGGUCAUCUCGGCUGUUCCUGAGAAAUAAAAAGCCUGUCAUUUCAAACACUGCUGUGGACCCUACGGGGUUUUUAAAAUAUUGUCCGUUUUUCAUCGUCGUCCUUAGCCUGCCAACAGCCAUCUGCCCAGACAACCACAGUGAGGAUGAGCGUCCUGGCAGAGAUGCAGUUGUCUCUGGGCGCUUGCCAGAGCUGCGAACCCCAGACCUGUUUGUAUCAUCCGGGCUCCUUCCGGGUAGAAACAACUGGAAAUGCACUUCAGACCCACUUGUUUCCGUCACAUCUGAGUUGGCCUGAGAUAGACUUUUCCCUCUAGACUUGGAGAGUAUCACAGUGGGUUUUGUUAGCAGAAAGUGCACUCCAGCCUCUGUAUUCAUCUAAGCUGCUUAUUUUUGAUAUUUGUGCCAGUCUGUAAAUGGAUACUUCACUUUAAUAACUGUUGCUUAGUAAUUGGCUUUGUAGAGAAGCUGGAAAAAGAUGGUUUUGUCUUCAACUCCUCUGCACGCCAGGCGGUGAUGUGGAUCUCGGCUUCUGUCAGCCUGUGCUGUGGGCAGGGCUGAGCUGGAGUCGCCCCUCUCAGCCCGCCUGCCACGGCUUUUCCUUAAAGGCCAUUCUUAAAACCAGACCCUCAUGGCUGCCAGCACCUGAAAGCUUCCUCGACAUCUGUUAAUAAAGCCGUAGGCCCUUGUCUAAGCGCAACUGCCUAGACUUUCUUUCA